CAUAUUCAUAUCCUGCUGCUGCGCUAAGAGAACCUAUGAGUGCAAUGUUCAUAGUUGCAGUCUGGGUUUGAUGUACUAUCAGCCAAGCAAAAGGGAAACAAUGGAGGAAGAUACAUCUGCCACCCAGUAUGAAGAUUACACGAAAAAAGUCCAAUUCAGAAUUAAAAGUAUCAAUACACUCCUCCACCACCGAAUCCUUCGCGUCUCUCUUCUUGGUCGGUCGGAGCUCUACGCCAGUUAAGAGGAGAAGUGUGAUCGGAGAGUGAAAUCCACCAACCGACGACCGUUCCUUCCACAUCAUCCUCAGAGAACCUAUGAGUGCACUGUUCAUAGUUGCAGUCUGGGUUUGAUGUACUAUCAGCCAAGCAAAAGGGAAACAAUGGAGGAAGAUACAUCUGUCAUCCAAUAUGAAGAUUACACGAAAAAAGUCCAAUUCAGGUUC